rnacentral:rRNA from 1 species
ACGAACGCUGGCGGCUGCUUAACACAUGCAAGUCGAACGGAGUGGCGAACGGGUGAGUAACGCGUGAGCAACCUGCCUAUGACAGGGGGAUAGCCUCGGGAAACCGGGAUUAAUACCGCAUAGGCAUAGAUGUGCUCGCGUCUGAUUAGCUAGUUGGUCUGAUAACAGGCCCCCAAGGCGACGAUCAGUAGCCGGUCUGAGAGGAAGAACGGCCACAUUGGAAGUGGGACACGGUCCCAAAUCCUACGGGAGGCAGCAGUGGGGAAUAUUGCACAAUGGCGUAAACCCCGAUGCAGCGACGCCGGGUGAACGAAGAAGGUAUUCGUAUCGUAAAGUUCUGUCCUAUGGGAAGCAGUACCAUAGAAGAAAGCUCCGGCUAAAUACGUGCCAGCAGCCGCGGUAAUAC